rnacentral:misc_RNA from 1 species
CACUUUGGGCUCAAGAAGAAGAAAAAAUUGAUGGAGGAGAGAGAGUUCGCGGGUCUGCCAUUGGCAAUUUCUUGCUUCAUUAUGCCUACCUUAAAGCGAAAUCUCGAGAGCCAGCCAACAGUCCGUGUGAAUGCUUGACCCUAAAGCCCAGAACCUGAGAAUCUUUGGCCUUUAAGCAACCUUUGCUCCAAGCAAUUCUGCAAUUCUACGCCUUUUUAUCAAUGGAUUUCAUGCAUAUAGCCCUCAUUGUUUUUCUUCCUUGCCUUCUUGAUUCUGCACAAAUUGUUAGUCUUUCAGGACUCAACCAUGCCACAAAGAAAAGCAAUCACACAUGCUGAUCUUGCGCCAGGUCCUCGAUGCACAGAUUUGGGUAGCAAAACAGCUGCCUUCCUAAUGGUCCUCACCAUUUUAUGUGGCCUUUUUUGCUUCAUUCUUUGUCUCAUUGCCGAAGCCACUCGUUCCCAGGUAAACCCACUGGACCUCCUUGCGAAAUAUGGAGAAUUACACUUAACUUAUUAACUUGGAUACCAAUUUAGAACACAAUUUUUCUGGCGUCACUUUGCAGGUAACAUGGGUAGCUGGGGAUGUUAAAGGAAAUACUGUGAACUAUGAAUGUGUAUACAGUGGCAGUGGCAAGACACCAUUGUUAUGUGCUGCCGUUGCAUUUGUGGGACUAGCAGUUGCCAUGGUAGUGGAACACGGGUACAUGUUGAUUGCAAUAAGUAAAGCACCUCCUCCAGUUUUGCUUACCUGGGACCACAAUUAUGCUUCUGCCAAGACUAUAACCUGGCAAGCAGGUUUUUUCUUCGUUGCUACUUGGCUUUGCUUUGCUAUUGGGGAAAUCUUGCUGUUAAUCGGACUGAGUGUGGAAUCGGGGCACCUGAAGAAUUGGUCUAGACCAAGGCCAAGUUGCCUCAUCAUCAAACAAGGCUUGUUCUCUGCUGCCGGAGUCUUUUCAUUACUAACAGUGUUUCUUGCUUCUGGGUUAUACUUGACAGCGUUGCGUGCACAAAGAAUAUCCCAAGAGCACGAAAACCUGCGGCGACAGAUGCUUGAAGCCUCCGUCCUCUACGCGUCACCGCCACGAUCACCUCCGCAUCAAAUUUCUGCCACUGCAAGGGAGAAUCCUAUUGCUGGAGAGAGUCAUCAAAUUGUGCAAACACCAUUUAGAGAUCGACAAGCUUUUUGCAAGAACUUGAGUUUAGUGUAAGACAAGCAAAUUAAAGAUGCAUGUUGGCGCCACUUGCAGCAAAGCUACAUAGGAUAUGGUGAAAAGUGUAAUUCAUUUAUUUUUGUAAAAAGAAUUUUUCUUUUUUUUUUGGGUUCUCUCUUUUGCCCCACAUUAGUAGACAUGGUUGAGGCCUUAUGGAAUGGAUAGAGCUUUCACCCAACAAGAAGAAAGUGAAACUACUCACCAACAUUACCUGCUUAAGUUUUGUGUGCCAUUAGAGAAACUCAGAAGCUCCAACAACCCCAACCCUUUCUCUCAGUUGGGUCCUUGGCUCUCAAAAUCUCUGCGGAACUUAUGUAACAAAGCUCGUUUCCCAAAUGGGAUUUGCUUGAAAAGGCUACAGUUUACGGGUAUGGUAGUGAACAACAUUGUUUUUUGUGAUUCACCUCAGUUUCUUGAAGAAGAGAACGCAGCAAUGGAGGGUUUUAUUGAGAAGAACUAUGAAGGUAUUCAAGAGAUAAAUGAAACCUUCGAUGAAAAUGGAGGUGAAGUGCGGACAUUUGGGAAUUUGAUUGAAGAAAAGGGUAGAGAGAGCAGUUCAAGCUCCGAUUUUUUGACAUCUGAAACAACAGGGCAUGAGGAGCAGAGCCAUAUUAGUUCUGAAGAGGAGUCAUCUUCGCCUCCUUCAUUGGGUUGGCCUAUACAGAAACAAAAAGUACCUGAUUACACAAGUAGCAAUGGUGCUAGUGAGGAAGGAGAGAAGCUACAUUUGGACAAUAGGAAGUUAGAGAAGCUACAUUUGGACAGUAGGAAGUUAGAGAAACGGGAGUCUUCAAUUUCAGAGACUGAGAUGAUGAAGGAAAGGUUUUCAAAAUUGCUGCUUGGAGAAGACAUGUCAGGUUGUGGAAAUGGAGUUUGCACAGCGUUGGCAAUUUCGAAUGCCAUUACUAAUCUAUGUGCUACCCUGUUUGGCCAGCUAUGGAGGUUAGAGCCUCUACCUCCUGAGAAGAAAGCAAUGUGGCGAAGAGAGAUGGAAUGGCUUCUUUGUGUGAGCGAUCACAUUGUCGAGUUGAUACCCUCUUGGCAAACAUUUCCAGAUGGAAGCAAGCUUGAGGUAUAGCUCCAUGCUGCCUGUGCCUAUGCACAUGUUUAGUUUUCAGAAUGUACUUUCUACUGUUUCUUUCUAUUAGCACCCAUUGUUUGUGGCCAUUGCAUGGAUAAUCUUCAUGGAAUGCUACAACUCUUAGAAAAUUCAUGAAAUCUGAAUAUCAAAUGUGCAAAUUGGAUUUGCCCUGUUGAUUUAUUUGAAAUUUUAUUGCAAAUAGAAUUUCGCUAUUACUAGGUCUUAGGUGGGCAACUAAAGAAUGCAAGAAAACUAAGAUUGCUCAAUUUAUAGCUGAAAUAACUUAAAACACCAUGGAGAACAUAGUUAUGAAUAGUGAGUCAAAAAAAAUUCCUGCCAACAAAUAGAAAAAGGAAUUUUAUCCUUUUGGUGCUCAAGUAGAUGAAUGAUUUCUUGAAUGUGUUUUUGUUUGCUUUUUCCUUUGUGAUCCAGGUCAUGACUUGCAGACCCCGGUCAGAUUUGUACAUAAACCUCCCAGCUCUGCGCAAAUUAGAUAACAUGCUUCUUGAGAUUUUGGAUAGCUUUGACAAUGCAGAGUUCUGGUACGUUGACCAAGGGAUCUUAGCCCCAGAUGCUGAUGGAUCAUCAUCUUUCCGAAGAACCUUUCAGCGCCAAGAGGAAAAGUGGUGGCUACCAGUGCCUCGAGUCCCUCCUUGUGGCCUCCAUGAAAAUUCAAGAAAGCAAUUGCAGCAUAAACGUGAUUGUACAAACCAAAUAUUAAAAGCCGCAAUGGCUAUCAACAGCAUUGCUUUAGCUGAUAUGGAAGUCCCUGAAUCGUACUUAGAGGCCCUUCCAAAGAAUGGAAAAGCCAGCUUAGGAGACCUCAUUUAUCGAUAUAUUUCAUCGGAUCAAUUUUCUCCAGAAUGUCUGUUCGAUUGCCUCGAUUUGUCCUCAGAACAUCAGGCUAUAGAACUUGCGAACAGAGUGGAGGCCUCAAUCUACGUGUGGCGCAAAAGAACCAACUCUAAACCUGCCAACAAUGCAACUCGGUCCAGUUCAAAGUCAUCUUGGGAGUUGGUAAAGGAGCUGAUGAUUGAUGCAGAGAAGAGAGAAUUGCUUGCUGAUCGAGCAGAGAGCCUUCUGCUUUGCUUGAAGCAAUGGUUCCCUGCCCUUCCACAGACAACUUUAGAUAUGAGCAAAAUCCAGUAUAACAAGGAUGUUGGGAAGUCCAUUUUGGAGAGCUACUCAAGAGUUUUGGAAAGCUUGGCAUUCAACAUUAUAGCACGGAUUGAUGAUCUGCUAUAUGUGGAUGAUUUGACUAAGCAUUCAGAUCAAUUCUCAUCAAUCUCUAAAGUUGGUGUAAUUGCUCACAAAAGUGUUUCAAUUCCAUAUUCAGUUCCAGUAUCAAGCACUCCUUAUAAAACAGCAUACACCACACCAAGCUUUUCACCAGGGCAUCUAGUUAGCCCUGUAAAGGGAGAAAGAUCUUCUUUCACAAUGACUAGCGGCAAAAUUCCUCAGCAGAGAGGUUUGGGAGUGAAGAAGGUCUUGACAGAUUAUCUGAGUAUCGAUAUAAAAGGCAAGGAUUGCUUUAAUUCAGCUGCCGGAACGGGUUACACAAGUCAAAAAGCAUCAGCAUCUAAAAGUGGAGUUGAAUCCUUAGAGUUUAUAAAAGAAGCAGUCAGCUCAAUUGGCUCACCAGUAGAAGAUUUAACUGUGGGGCAAUAAGCUUAAGAGUGGAUUAUCUGAUGUAUAUGGGUAAUUAGGCUGGCUGGCUCUUCCUGUGUAUUGUUUUCAAUAGUACUAGGAAGUUGUUUUUAGAUUAAUGCAAGGAGGUGUUUGUAAUCAUAAUCAGUUGAUUGCUUCAUGUUCCUAUUUAUGGGCAUCCCCCAGAUGUAUUAGGCCUUACUUUUAAUACAUAGAACAUUCAUUUCAGAAGUUGUUCAGAACUUCUUUGGUACGGGAAGGGAUUGGGGGAAUGGUGACUCAAACUUGGGUUUACCAGGCAAUGAUGGUUUAUUUAAAGUUGGUUACACGUCUUCGCUUCCUAUAAAUUUAUUUGGCGUAUUGAUGUUUGAAUUG